AUCGUGUUCCUCCAAAUGACCAGUAAUAAGACAUCCACGGUUCUGGAGCUCUUCCUUGAAGCUGCAAAGAAACAUGACAUUGCAUUCAGGAGUGAGAGGGGACCAAGGAGCUGAAAUGUGGACAAUCAAGGCUGUGCCAGAUAGUUUCAUCUCAGAGAAACAUAUCAACAACCUAAGGAAAUAGACAGAGAGUCUAUAUACAUGAUACCAAACCUCUGGUGCAAUAGC